GGAGCUUCUCCUGCCUUGUUCCUGCCUGACUAGCUGCCUACUUUAACAUUUUUAACGAUAAAGAAUGUGAGUUCCAUGAGGAAGAGGGCAGGGAUCUUGAUUUUGUUCCCUGCUGUAUUCCCAAGGUGUAGAAUGAAGACUGACACAUAACCAUGCCUGCUUUCUCUUCACCUUCCACCAUGAUUGGUAGUUUCCUGAGGCCUCCCCAGCCAUGUCCCCUGUACAGCCUGUGGAACUGGGAGCAGCUGCAAAGGAACACCACAAUGAUAUUCCACUGGAAAAAGGGCCAAACCACCUGAUCAUAAGAACAUCUUAUCAAUAUCCUCCUGGGCAGCAAGCCAUACUGCCCAGCUCCCUCCCACCCAUACCUCAGCUGCAACCAGGAUCACCCCCAUUGCUGGACAUCACAUCCAACACUGGGCUUCAAUUCGUGGGGGCUCUUCGUCUUCUCCCCAUUGGUGCUGGAAGUUGGCUGUUCCAUGAUUCUGGUUGGUUGUAGAAUGUCUAUAGUAGGCUCCUGUAGACUGCAGACUUCCACAGCUAUGUUGAAGCUUCCCAGUGGGAUGUCCCAGAGCUCUUGCCCUCCCUAUAUAUACCCUCCUGGUGACAAGGCAAAGCCACACCCUUGAGCUUUGUUUGAUCAUACAGGCAGUGUCCCAGCCAAUGGCGGUCCUAAGGUGGCUUUGACAUCACAAAGCCCCACUGCUGACCACUCCUUGGGCUUGUGGGGGAGGGGUGACAGGGAUGUAGAGGAAACCAAAUGCGGUUGUUGUUUCAGCAUCCCCUGAAGAUGCAUCCCAAACCGAUCUGCCGCCGCUCCUCAUUUCUCCAUGUUUAAUGUUCAUGGUUCACAUGGAAGUCAGAGGAUGAUUCCUUCAAGCCCUUCCCCACAGCCAUUCCUAUGAAGUGAUUCAUUCUUUUGUCUUCCAGCCCUCACCAUGACUUAGUAUUUUAGAUGUCUCACCUCAAAUCCCCCAAGCUAGUGUGGCUACAUUUAAUUAUUAGUUAUUAAUUACUAGUUACAUUUAAUAAUUAAUAAUUAAUUAUCCCAUUUCCCUCCUACAGUUCCUUCAUAUGCACCUUGAAGACCAUUUACUUUUAGGCUACUGCCAGGCAAAUUUCAACCCAUGUUAUUUUACUCAAUGUCCGUGUAGUUCUUUUAAAUUUCCUAUUUCCAAUCUGCAAUAAUGGCCUUCAGUCUGUCAAAAUUUUAGUGAAUAAACAUUCUUUACUGUGUAUCCUAGUCUUGUUUCAAAUGAGGGGUGUAUUUUCAUAGUAAAUGUAGUCUCCCAACAUGAAUUCUGCCAGUAUGUGGGUGGGGGAAGGAGUGGAUAUUCAAGUGCUGGAAGUUGUUCUCAGUGUUUACAUGCAGGAUGCUACAAUCUAAGACCCACAUGUGCACCAGUAUGGGCAUAGUUAUACUUUGUACUGAAGAUUGUGUCCAGUGCAAAAAGAAAAAUGCAUUCAGUUUGG
rnacentral:lncRNA from 1 species